UGAACGCUAGCUACAGGCUUAACACAUGCAAGUCGAGGGGCAGCAUGGUCUUAGCUUGCUAAGGCCGAUGGCGACCGGCGCACGGGUGAGUAACACGUAUCCAACCUGCCGUCUACUCUUGGACAGCCUUCUGAAAGGAAGAUUAAUACAAGAUGGCAUCAUGAGUCCGCAUGUUCACAUGAUUAAAGGUAUUCCGGUAGACGAUGGGGAUGCGUUCCAUUAGAUAGUAGGCGGGGUAACGGCCCACCUAGUCUUCGAUGGAUAGGGGUUCUGAGAGGAAGGUCCCCCACAUUGGAACUAAGACACGGUCCAAACUCCUACGGGAGGCAGCAGUGAGGAAUAUUGGUCAAUGGGCGAGAGCCUGAACCAGCCAAGUAGCGUGAAGGAUGACUGCCCUAUGGGUUGUAAACUUCUUUUAUAAAGGAAUAAAGUCGGGUAUGGAUACCCGUUUGCAUGUACUUUAUGAAUAAGGAUCGGCUAACUCCGUGCCAGCAGCCGCGGUAAUACGGAGGAUCCGAGCGUUAUCCGGAUUUAUUGGGUUUAAAGGGAGCGUAGAUGGAUGUUUAAGUCAGUUGUGAAAGUUUGCGGCUCAACCGUAAAAUUGCAGUUGAUACUGGAUAUCUUGAGUGCAGUUGAGGCAGGCGGAAUUCGUGGUGUAGCGGUGAAAUGCUUAGAUAUCACGAAGAACUCCGAUUGCGAAGGCAGCCUGCUAAGCUGCAACUGACAUUGAGGCUCGAAAGUGUGGGUAUCAAACAGGAUUAGAUACCCUGGUAGUCCACACGGUAAACGAUGAAUACUCGCUGUUUGCGAUAUACGGCAAGCGGCCAAGCGAAAGCGUUAAGUAUUCCACCUGGGGAGUACGCCGGCAACGGUGAAACUCAAAGGAAUUGACGGGGGCCCGCACAGGCGGAGGAACAUGUGGUUUAAUUCGAUGAUACGCGAGGAACCUUACCCGGGCUUAAAUUGCAGAUGAAUUACGGUGAAAGCCGUAAGCCGCAAGGCAUCUGUGAAGGUGCUGCAUGGUUGUCGUCAGCUCGUGCCGUGAGGUGUCGGCUUAAGUGCCAUAACGAGCGCAACCCUUGUUGUCAGUUACUAACAGGUUCCGCUGAGGACUCUGACAAGACUGCCAUCGUAAGAUGUGAGGAAGGUGGGGAUGACGUCAAAUCAGCACGGCCCUUACGUCCGGGGCUACACACGUGUUACAAUGGGGGGUACAGAGGGCCGCUACCACGCGAGUGGAUGCCAAUCCCCAAAACCUCUCUCAGUUCGGACUGGAGUCUGCAACCCGACUCCACGAAGCUGGAUUCGCUAGUAAUCGCGCAUCAGCCACGGCGCGGUGAAUACGUUCCCGGGCCUUGUACACACCGCCCGUCAAGCCAUGGGAGCCGGGGGUACCUGAAGUGCGUAACCGCGAGGAGCGCCCUAGGGUAAAACUGGUGACUGGG
rnacentral:rRNA from 1 species